rnacentral:rRNA from 1 species
GGGCCCGCACAAGCGGUGGAGCAUGUGGUUUAAUUCGAUGAUACGCGAGGAACCUUACCAGGGCUUAAAUGUAGUUUGACCGGUCUGGAAACAGACUUUCUCUUCGGAGCAGAUUACAAGGUGCUGCAUGGUUGUCGUCAGCUCGUGCCGUGAGGUGUUAGGUUAAGUCCUGCAACGAGCGCAACCCCUAUUCUUAGUUGCCAGCGGUUCGGCCGGGGACUCUAAGAAGACUGCCAGCGCAAGCUGAGAGGAAGGUGGGGAUGACGUCAAAUCAUCACGGCCCUUACGUCCUGGGCUACACACGUGCUACAAUGGUAGAGACAGAGGGCAGCCACCUGGUGACAGGGAG